UCUUAAAGGGAUUGUGAAACUAUGUUUUUUAUAUAAUGAUCCUCAGUGGGGUCCAGUGUCAUCGUAAGGACAAAAGCUCAGAAAUACAUUCUUCAAAAUGUUUUUGUUUUCCACAAAAGAAGGCUGCUGUGGAACAUCAAGCAGAGUUGUGGAGGUUGUCAUGUGACACAUUCACUAGCCCAACAGUGGGAGAUCUUCAGAACCAUCUCCUCUUCCCCACUGUGUGGCCUGUCACUUAACCCUUACUCGCUCAAUUCAUCUCUGUCAGGACACUGCUGAAGAUGCUGUUUGAUGACUUCCGUUGGCUCCUCAGGUGUCACGUCACAAAGCCCCGAGGAAAUAAAAGAAGAAUGAAUGGGAACUCCUACACGUAAUGCUCCAAUCAAACAGACCUUGAGCUGAAGAUAACACACUUAUCCAGAGAAAAGGACACAUGCUCUGGACACCAAGCAAGCCAGGACCACCACUCAAAUCAUGGGUGCAUGAUGCCCAUGAUGGUACUCCAGAUGAUCUGAAGAUGUUGGAGCUGUUUUAUCAUCAGACUCUUUGAGGGCCCAGAGGCAGCAUUAUGCAGAAUCUGAGAAAGACAGAUGAGGGAUGCAAUGGAUGAGAGGAGAUGUAAUUAAACGUAGAGGAUUCCUCCAGGUGUUUAAUGCUAUUCGCAAGGACAACGUAUGAAACACUGCUGAUGAGGUGUGAACAUCCGCGUGACUCUGCAUCGCACGCUAGGCUCAACAGAUGUGUGCGGU
ensembl:lncRNA